rnacentral:rRNA from 1 species
ACGGUCUCAGUUCAGAUUGCAGGCUGCAACUCGCCUGCAUGAAGUUGGAAUUGCUAGUAAUCGCGAAUCAGAAUGUCGCGGUGAAUACGUUCCCGGGCCUUGUACACACCGCCCGUCAAACCAUGAGAGUUGGCAACACCCGAAGUCGGUAGUCUAACCGCAAGGAGGACGCCGCCGAAGGUGGGGUUGAUGAUUAGGGUUAAGUCGUAACAAGGUACC